rnacentral:rRNA from 1 species
AACGAACGCUGGCGGCAUGCCUAACACAUGCAAGUCGAACGAGACCUUCGGGUCUAGUGGCGCACGGGUGCGUAACGCGUGGGAACCUGCCUUUAGGUUCGGAAUAACUCAGAGAAAUUUGAGCUAAUACCGGAUGAUUUCUUCGGACCAAAGAUUUAUCGCCUUUAGAUGGGCCCGCGUUGGAUUAGCUAGUUGGUGGGGUAAAGGCCUACCAAGGCGACGAUCCAUAGCUGGUCUGAGAGGAUGAUCAGCCACACUGGGACUGAGACACGGCCCAGACUCCUACGGGAGGCAGCAGUGGGGAAUAUUGGACAAUGGGCGAAAGCCUGAUCCAGCAAUGCCGCGUGAGUGAUGAAGGCCUUAGGGUUGUAAAGCUCUUUUACCCGAGAUGAUAAUGACAGUAUCGGGAGAAUAAGCUCCGGCUAACUCCGUG